AUCAAAGUCAGUUCCUAGUUCCUGCCUUGCUCAAACUAGAGAAACAUCUUAUUUUCAUAUACUCUACAAUUUACUUUGCACAUUUUUUGUGAUACAAAGGAGCUAACAGCCCAUAAAAAUUAAAAAGCACGGAUAACAUAUGACAGAUCUGCCAUGAGUGGCAAGAAAAUAAAUGUCAUUAACAUAAAAAAAUUCUACAAGUGUCAUCCACUGAUAGACCAAACUUGGCUAAGGCGCCUGCUACUUUAUUGGCUCGCCGAAAAUAUGAAAUAAUGAAUCUGAUUGACUAGUGUAUAGCACGGUUGUAUGGCUAAACACCCAGUAUCUAUCAACUGAAUUCCCAUAAGGGAGUUUGACUCAAUUGCAUUCCUUCAAAAACCAUGUAUCCGAGCUGUUUUAAUUGCAUAAAAUUGCCCAAAGGCCCACUUGUAACUCAGUGCAUAUUUCCAAAUUUACUGAGUAAACAAGGAUGAAUCUGGCUCAUUUGGACACCAAGAAAACCUUCACAUGCUGCUUUUUGCUUCUCAACUGAAAUAGCCCCAUCACAAUUUAGUUUCAUCCAACCAACCAGUGGGGAUAAGCCAGCAGAUGUGGCUAGAACAAGCCACUCUUCCCUGAAAGAGGUUGCAAUUUUGCUGAAGUAAACCUGUAGCAUCCUUUAUGCACAAGACCAUGCCUUAAUUUUAUCCAUUCUGUGUAACUGGGUGGAGUAAGCUUUGGGUUGAAAUAUCCACUCGUUUCUCACCUACCAUAUGCAGUCCCGAGCCACACAAAAAGUUAGACUCCGUAAGGCAUUGUCUUAAGUUAUUAAGCAGUGUUGCAAAGGUUCUCAAUCAACAACUUCUGUUGCCAAUCAUAGGAUUCUGGCAAUUUAGUCAAGACUUUCAGCAUUAUAGAGCAGUCUCAAAAAAUAUGUAGAACAGUUUCUAUUAAUAUCAUUUCUCAAGCUACUUUCGGCAGUACAACUUCAAUGCAUCCAGGCCCUUUACAUCUCCAUAUCAAGAUGAUGAGUGGCAGUGAGGUUGUUGACUAUUGCUACCUCAUGUAGGCCCUAGCUAGUGAGAAAUCGCCAUCAUUUCAGUCUUUCCAAGCUAUUUGAUCAUCAGCAUUGAGUGGUGAAGGAUGUUGAAGUGCCCUGAUCCUAUUACAAAUGCUCCCUGGGAGAUGUUACAGCAUAUGAAAAUUCCAUUUUUCUGAACUAGUGAUAAAGUCAGCAACCUUUCUCUCAACAUUGGGUGGUGAAGGAUGUUGAAGUGCCCUGAUCCUAUCUCAACCCUUCUUGUCGAGAGUGUCACAACUAUCAAUCCGGACACGGUAGACACCUUGCACUCUAUAGUAAUGGCAAGAAGGCAGACUCGUCCUUGACUGAGCCUCUUCUCAACCAACCAAUGUUUUC
rnacentral:lncRNA from 1 species